GUGUCCGUAGCUCAGUUGGAUAGAGCAACGGCCUUCUAAGCCGUGGGUCGGGGGUUCGAAUCCCUUCGGGCACG
rnacentral:tRNA from 1 species